UAAAAAACAAAACAAAACAAAAAACUUUGUAAAGAGCCCUCUCGCUCAUUACCACCAGGGCCGCGCAGGGCGAGAGGUCUCCACUGCCCCUGGAAGGCAGGACCCAGACCCUCCCCAGCUGCUCGAGUUGUGGCUGCGGUUCGCGACUCCGCCCCACUUAUCCGGCUUGUAGAAAAGUCCCACCUAUCAUCAAUGAUUCGUCUGAAACGAAUAGGCGCCUGAGGUAUCCUCACAUUUUAUUGGUUAAUGCUGCUGUUUGUCUUCGGACGGCGGCCUCUGAGAAAUGUAGUUCCGGAGAACACGGAGUGUUUCCGCUUCCGCUGCUCAGUGGUUAUCCCAAUAGCCGUGUUUAGGGCCCGUACUCGGGCUUCUAGUGUCGUGUGGGAACGUUGCGUCCCCGCGGAGAACAUGUCACGGGGGCCGAGUCGUCCGUAUUCUUAGGGCCUCGGCGGGCGGGAGUAGCUCUCACCUCGGGCCUGGGCCUCGAGCCAGGGUCCAGCGGCCUCCAGCCCUGGCCCCGAGUCCCCGCGAUCUGACCCGGAGGCAGCAUACGCCCCUUGUGCUGGUGGCGCCCUAUUCCCGCUGCCCGCUGAGCCUGGAGGGACGACGCUGGCCCUGUAGCCGCCGAGGCGCCCCUGGCCGCGGGGCCCGCGUUUGCCCUAUAAAGAUUGCAGAGAAAGUCGCCCGCGGAGCAGAGUAACCUUCCAGUGUAAGCCACCCAGUCUGCAGUCGAAGGAUUGAGCCACUGUUCAUUUGCCUGCCUUAAACCAGCUACGUGACCUUGAACAAGUCCCUUGAGGUCUCUAAGCCAUGAUUGCCUCAGCUCUUAAGGGAGUUCAAGCCAGAGUAUCUCUUAACUCUCCAACUCUACCAUCCCCGUCGGACGAGGCCGUCGGGCCGCCACCUCUCCUGCUCAGCUGCCUUCGCCAUGACCAGUGACAGCGGCGGGCCCGCGAGCCCAGCGAGUGAGACUGGCAGUACUGCGAGCUGUGGGGGAAGAUGGAGAACCUGCUGCUCUACAGCCGCCCUUCCUACUGCUGCAAGGAGCACCAGCCUCAGGACUGGAAGAAGUACAAGUUCGUGUGCCAGGGCAGCGAGGGUGUCCUCGGUCACGGAGGCAAAGCCUAGUUUGCUGACAUUGAACCCAACUUUGAUAGACUGCUGUUUUUCUGGUCUGACUGUCGCAGACCUCAUGAAGUACAAGCCAAAGUGUGUUGUUACCACUGAUCUUCUGGCUCAGAAUUCCUGCAGAGAAGAGCAGGGUGGCGAGGAGUUAGCCACACCUGGUGAUUCGGCUGUAUAUAUCUCCUAGGAGCAUGGAGGGAUCCAGAAUCUGGACAGAAGAACCACCUAGAAAUAACUCAGCAGAAUUCUGAAAAUGAGGUCAUACUGGGCCCAAAAUGAACUCCCACAUGGAGUAGGAGGAAAACCCACAGAGUCUAGAUCUUCACAUUCUGGAGAAACCCAUCACAUCUCCCUUUUGUGUGCCUGCAAACAGAUUUUCCAAUCCAUAGGCCCAAAGUGAACUCCCACAUGGAGUAGGAGGAAAACCCGCAGAGUCUACAUCUUCACAUUCUGGAGAAAAGGAGAAUAUGAAAGACUGCUCAGUGGCUGGGGUGAGAGUCAAGUCUGGCCAGGUGCUAAUCUGGAGAAAGCCAAGACCUGGAGCUAGCUGGAGUGGCAGGCCCUGGAGGAUGAGAAGGUAGCAAAAGUACACUGGGGAUACAAGGAAACCAAGAUUUUUCUGGGAAUUCUCAGAGGCCUGGAUCCAUGAAAAACUCCACAUCGGCCAUUGAAACCACCAGGUGUACCAGAUUAUGGCUGAGCAGCUACAAGAGCAUGGCUUCAUGUGAACCCUGGAGCAAUGUUGCUAUCGGUUCAAAAACCUCCUGACCAACUACUGCAAAGCCAGGAGCACCUACACACCAGGCACCAGUGCCUUCUAUGAUGAGAUGGAUGCCCUGAUGAGUCUUUGGGCACUUGCUAACACCUUUGAUGCCUUAGAGGUGGUAGGAGGCCGCCUUCAGGAUUGAGAGGAUUCCAAAGGGAACCAGGGCAUAGCACUAGAAGAUGUGGUGGGAUGGUAAUGAAGUAGUGGAGUCUCAAGAAGAAUCCUGGAGCCUUGGUACCCAGGCCUUGAGGUAGAAUCCCAGUGGCAACUCUCCCCCACAGUGGACCUCAGAGCAGUGGGAGCAAUGCAGUCCUGUGGGAAGCAUUCAGGCUCAGAAUCAGGAGAUGUGAUUAUUGUCCUGGCUCUGCUAUGACUAAUUUAGGUCUGGAAUGGCCUCAUUGGGGGAAAAAUUGGUGGCAACUUUAAGGGAAUACUGUUUAUAUCCUGUCCUCAAAUAUUGCUUGACUCAACCCUCUACUGAACCAGUAGUCCAGGGUGGCUCACAAAGACCAGUUUGAGGCUCUUGCUCUGCCUAUAACCAAGGAGUCACCCUUCCUGCCUUUAGUAACAACAUUACAGGAACAGAGGAGAGAAAGGUAGGAGUUAAAAGUUCCAGUCAUUUGUUUCUAUCUAAAGUGCCCUAUAAGCCAGGCAUGGUGGCGCAUGCCUGUAGUCCCAGCUGCUCGGGAGGCUGGGGCAGGAGAAUCACUUGAGCCCGGGAGUUGGAGGCUGCAGUGAGUUGUGAUCAUGCCACUGCAUUCCAGCCUGGGCAACAGAGUGAGACCCAGACUCAGUUGAAAAAUAAUAAUGUUAUUAUUAAAAUAAUUUAAAAUAAAGUGUUCCAUGGAUGUGAACACUGCAUAGAUUAUAUACAACAGUCUGCCAUUUAAAAGGCUUGUUGUUCUUGGGCAACCUCGUUAAACACCCUUAGCCUCCAUUUUCUCAUCUGGACAGUGGACAUAUGAUGGUUUCUACCUCCUUGGGCUAUUAUGAGGAUCCUGACACAGUAUUAGCACUCGGCAAAUGUUAGUUUUCAUUAUUAUCAUUAUAAUUAUGAUGAUGUCCCCUCCUGCUUUUCCUUGAGCAGGACUUCCAGUUCCCCAGCCAGAUGGGGUCACAAGGCUGCAGAAAAGUGAAGAGCUUUGGAAUGAAGUUCUCCGGGACUUCAAGGAGAUUCAGAAAACGUCCAGCGCAGGUGGGAAAUGAGUAGGAGCUAGCAUUCCACCAACAAAGUCAGCCCUGGGAUUCUAAACUCGGACACGCCAGCACUGGGCAAGGGCUGAGAGGGGAACCAGGUGCUCAGUGCUCCCAGUUUACUGUUCUGUGGUGUGGAAAGCACAGGAGUUGGGAAAAGAACAGAGAAGUAGGUGGCACCCAGGAAAGCCUGUUCCCCUAAGUUUGAACUUUAAUUACCUUGAAAAAAGGUAUAACUGAAUUAUGAGUGUUUAUGAUUUUAUCUUUAAAUUUCUGUUUCUGUUUUUUUUUUUUUUUUUUUUU